rnacentral:lncRNA from 1 species
GCGUGCGCGACCCCGCGGGUCAGAGACGGCGGCCGACAGACGGAAGCGGAGGUUGUGACUCGGCCACUUGGGGCUGCCGCUGCUGAGGCGGUGGCGGCGCUGCCACCGGUGGGCUCGUCCGGCCACCGGGGCCCACUCCGAGCAGGUGACUGGCCACACCGAUCAUUCUGUACUUUGAGCUAAAGAUCGGAAGAUUGGGAGUUUAAAGGCAGCCAGGGGUACAGCUUGAUCUCACGCCAGAAAAGACAGGAGGUCACGUCCAAGUGUGGCGGUCGUCCAAGCCUUUAUCCCAACUGGAUUUUGGAUGGAGCUUCAGUCACUCUGAACACUUGAUGUCUUCUUGGAUGGUUUGCAGUGUCAGCAUGUCCUCACUGUGUGCCACAAGAGUGUGGUUUUACUUAUUUCUUCUAGACUCAGGUACAUGUCCAGUGUCUGCCACAGCUACUGCACAGGCAUCGGUGCCGGGAAGCCGCUGUCCACCUGGGCAGCUGCUCUGCCUACGACAGCAGCCAUUUCUAGCUCUACUUUUAGUUUCUUUCUGUCUCCUCCUGUCCUCUUCCCUUUCCUCUCCUUUCUUCUGUCUCUUUCUCCCUCUCUCCUUGCUAAGUACAGUUCUACCCCUAAACUCUCA